CCCGUUCUCUCUUUCUCUCACAACGUUCUCAAACCUUCCUACAAGGAAACUAACAUGCUUCUCUUUCUCUCUCUACGACACAAUAACGCGCCCCUCUCUCUCCCGCCAGCAAUGGCGAAUGUAGAUUAGCAAGUGUUACUGAUAUGAUCGUCACUAUUUCCUUUCAAAUCAUUGUUGGGUCUGUUUCGUUUUGGCUGGAAAAAUUUCACUGUUAGUUUUUUCCAUCUACUUCGUAUCUCUUGCUUGAAAAUACCUUAUUUCGAGUCCUUUUGCAGGCUUCAUUACGCUGCUCGCCCUGUUAAAACAGCACUCGACAAGUUUCAGUUGCUCCCAGAGUUCUUAACAUCAGGGGGCUUGUGCAGCAACACAUUGAUUCGUUCAAUUAUUUUGUGAACAAUGAAAUUAAGAAGAUUGUUCAUGCGCCAUCCAAUGAAAGAAUCACCUACUCUCAAGUAUCUUGAUGUAUCCGUCGGAACGCCAUGAUAUCAGACCAACACUGUUGCAGAAAAAGUCACCCCUCACGAAUGCCGCCUAAGGGACAUGACGUAUGCUCGCUGGCUCAUAAUUCUCCUUUCAAUAUAUCAGCUUUUACUUCAAUGCUAUAUUUUUUUGUUUCUUUUGGUUGGUUAACUUGGAAAAAGGAGGAGUUGGUGGAUUUUAUUAUGACAUGAGAAUAAGCAUCGGCUUGACAUUUUCAUGUAACUCUCGUGAUAUUACAUGACGUGAUUAUAAUUAAGGCUAUCAUGCUUGAAUUUGUAAUUUAUGGAAC